rnacentral:misc_RNA from 1 species
AUUUCCAUUAGAAUUCUGGUUUCAGCUUGAGUUCCCCUCUUUUGAUGGUUCAAUAAUUCCAACUUUCCCAAGGUUGACAAUUACUUUCUAUUAAUUUCUGGAAACUUGUUCUUUUCUAGAAGCAUGUCAACUUUUAAGCUUGCAUAAAGCCUUAACUCUAUAAACUAUAUAAUAGUAUACUGUAAAGUUUCAGCCACCUAGUAAUACAGCGAUCUAUGAACUAGUUUUCAGAACCACUCUUUAAAGAAUUGGCACAUCAAAUAGUCAAAUCCAACCACACCAUUUCUGUGACAAUAUCACAGUUAAGUUCCAUGAAACAUCACAAGAUUCAAUUAUUUACUAGUAACUGUAAACCCAAAAGCUGAUAUAAAAGAAAAGAAUAACAUCAAGCCAAAUAACCCAAAUUCUCUAUAAAGAACAGCAGGGAGUGUUACAGGGAAAUUAUUCCUCACCGAUUUAGUUUGAGGUGGAAUUC